rnacentral:rRNA from 1 species
GAUAAUACCUUACUACUUGGAUAACCGUGGUAAUUCUAGAGCUAAUACAUGCUAAAAAUCCCGACUUCGGAAGGGUUGUAUUUAUUAGAUUAAAAACCAAUGCCCCUCGGGGCUCUCUGGUGAAUCAUGAUAACUAGUCGAAUCGACAGGCCUUGUGCCGGCGAUGGCUCAUUCAAAUUUCUUCCCUAUCAACUUUCGAUGUUUGGGUAUUGGCCAAACAUGGUGGCAACGGGUAACGGAGGGUUAGGGCUCGACCCCGGAGAAGGAGCCUGAGAAACGGCUACUACAUCCAAGGAAGGCAGCAGGCGCGCAAAUUACCCAAUCCCGACACGGGGAGGUAGUGACAAUAAAUACUGAUACAGGGCUCUUUUGGGUCUUGUAAUCGGAAUGAGUACAAUUUAAAUCCCUUAACGAGGAACAAUUGGAGGGCAAGUCUGGUGCCAGCAGCCGCGGUAAUUCCAGCUCCAAUAGCGUAUAUUAAAGUUGUUGUGGUUAAAAAGCUCGUAGUUGAACCUUGGGCCUGGCUGGCCGGUCCGCCUCACCGCGUGCACUGGUCCGGCCGGGCCUUUCCCUCUGCGGAACCCCAUGCCCUUCACUGGGCGUGGCGGGGAAACAGGACUUUUACUUUGAAAAAAUUAGAGUGCUCAAGGCAGGCCUAUGCUCGAAUACAUUAGCAUGGAAUAAUGAAAUAGGACGUUGCGGUUCUAUUUUGUUGGUUUCUAGGACCGCCGUAAUGAUUAAUAGGGACAGUCGGGGGCAUCAGUAUUCAAUUGUCAGAGGUGAAAUUCUUGGAUUUAUUGAAGACUAACUACUGCGAAAGCAUUUGCCAAGGAUGUUUUCAUUAAUCAGGAACGAAAGUUAGGGGAUCGAAGACGAUCAGAUACCGUCGUAGUCUUAACCAUAAACUAUGCCGACUAGGGAUCGGACGAUGUUAUAUUUUUUGACGCGUUCGGCACC